GAGUUAGCGAUGAUUAUAAAAAUAAUUCCUCAUUCUAAUUUCUUUAAUUUAUACAUGAUAAACCUCUUAUUACACCUAUAGAAUUUGAGCUAU
rnacentral:snoRNA from 1 species